rnacentral:lncRNA from 13 species
AUGAUUUACUUCGCAGUCCCAGAUUUACGGUUUUCAAUUUUUAAAUACUGCCAUUUUCACCGUCAAGCCCCGAUGCCAAACACAGAAAUACCGCCCCCCAACCCCCUCGCCGCAUGCCUCCCACAUUUUCACACAAAUUUUCAGGAGCCCACGGCGGGGCCCUGCACCGAACGCUGUCUCUGCCUUUCCCCUACGUGCCCCGCGCCCCCACCACAGGGCGGAAGGCGACGGAACCGACUCCUCCACACCCCCCACCUGCCCGGUUCCCCAGGGUCUCCCGGCGGCCAGGCUCCCCUGCUCAAACGUGGCGGAACCACCGGAACCCGGCCUCGCCCCGCUCGGGACAGGGCUGACUGGGCCUGGCCAGCUCUGCGCGGGGCGGGACUUCGGCCGGCGGGGCGGGACUUCGGCCGGCGGGGCGCGGCCAGCGUGCGGGGCUCGUCCCCUUUCUGCCCGCGGUUCCGGGGGUUCCGGCGGCGCCGGCUGCCGCAGCACUUCCGGGUCGGCGUGGAGGCGGGGCGGAGCUGCCGCGGAGGCUGUUAUUGUUCGCCUGGGCUCGGUCGGGCGCUGUCUUCUGUAGCUCGGCGGGUGUGUUUGUCCGGCUUCCUCACAGCCCCUCACUCCCGGCAGCUGACAGCAGUGGCGGCGGCGGCGGGCGGGGCCUGGCGUUUCGAGGCUGAGCGGCGCCGGGGUGAGGGGCGCGGAGGAGGAGCAGUAGCGGGAGGAGGAGCCGUGUGCCCUGGCACUGAGCGGCCGCGGCCAUGGCGUACGCCUAUCUUUUCAAGUACAUCAUCAUCGGCGACACAGGUAUAGCUGAGAGUCACCGUGAUUUUGGCCAAAUCUGAGGGAGAAAGGAAGAAAAUGAAUAUCGAUAGCUGCAUGCUGAUACAACUCCUUGAAGGAAGGAUGGUGCCUGGUGCAGAGUUAGAAGAGUUGGUGCUUCAGUAAAUGAUGAAUGUGUGCUAGGUAAAUUCUCCUGGGUAGGCUGCAUGCAUUGACCAGUUUAUUCCUGCUUGUUUCAAAACAGGAUUUAAGGGCACUUACAUAAAUUUUUUUUUAAGUUUUUUAAAAUGUAAAUGAGAUAUUAAGGAUAUAUAUAUAUAUCAGUAUUUUAUUGCUAGCAUUCCAAGCUACCAGAAACUUAGCAACUGAAACAACAUAAAUUUAUCCUACAGUUCUAUAGUCCGGAAGUCUAACACGUCUCACUGGGCUAAAAUCCAGGUUUCAACAGGACUGGAUUCCCUUCUAGAGAGUCUUGACUCAUUCAGGUUGUUGGCAAAAUAUAGUUCCAUGCAGCUGUAGGGCUAAGAUCCCCAUUUCCUUCCUGGCUAUCACCUGAGAGCUUUUCCCAGCUUCUAGAGUCCACCCAUGGCCCAUGGCCCCCUUCCUCCAUCUUCACAGCUAACAAGAGUGGGUCCCAUCCUUCUUGUGUCUCAUCUUUCUGAUUCUUGUUGGGCCAUCCCACGUCUCUCUGUUGUAAAGGUUCUCCACUUUUAAGGACUCAUAUGUUUAGAUUGGGCUAACCUGGAUAAUCCAGGCUAGUCUCCCCAUCUGAAGAUCUAAUAUUAAUCAAAUCUGCAAAGUCCCCUUUGCCAUGUAGGGUAAAAUAUUCACAGGUUUUGGGGAUUAGGAUGUUAAUAUCUUUUGGAGAGCAUUAUUCUGCCUACCAUAAAGGGCUGUAUUAGUCUAUUCUCACACUGCUAUAAAGAACUACCUGAAGCCAGGCAUGGUGGCUCACACCUGUAAUCCUAGAACUUUGGAGGCUAGGCGUGGUGGCUCAUGCCUGUAUUCCUAACAUUUUGGAGGCUGAGGCAGGUGGAUUGUCUGAGCUCAGGAAUUCAAGACCGGCCUGGGCAACACGGUGAAACCCCGUCUCUAUUAAAAUACAAAAAAUUAGCUGGGUGUAGCGGCAUGCACCUACAAUCCCAGCUACUCAGGAAGCUGAGACAGAAGAAUUGCUUGAACCCAACAGGCAGAGGCUGCAGUGAGCCUCUAUAGAACCUUGCAUUCCAGCCUGGGCAACAACGUGAGACUCUGUCUCACACACACACACACACACACACACACACACACACAAACAAAAGUCCAGGUGCUGUGGCUCACACCUGUAAUCCCAGCACCAGCACUUUGGGAGGCCGAGGUGGGCAAAUCACCUGAGGUCUGGUGUUCAAGACCAGCCUGACCAACAUGGAGAAACCCUGUCUUUAUUAAAAAAAAGGAAAAAAAGAGAACUACCUGAGAAUGGGGAAUUUAUGAAGAAAAGAGGUUUAAUUGACUCACAGUUCCACAGGCUGUGCAGGAAGCAUGGCUGUGAGUCCUCCGGAAACUUGCAGCCAUAGCAGAAGGUGAAGGGGAAAGCAAGCACAUCUUACCAUGUCAGAGCAGGAAAGAGAAAGUGAAGGGGGAAGUGCUACACACAACCAGAUCUCGUGAGAACUCACUCACUGUCACUGAGAACAGCAAGGGGGAAAUCGCUCCGAUGGUCCAGUCACCCCCCCACCAGGUCCUUCCCCCAACAUAGGAAAUUACAAUUUGACAUGAGAUUUGGGUGGGGACACAGAGCUAGAAAUUUCAAGGGCUAAGGAACAAAUGGUAAAAACAGUAAAAUAAAAUCAGAAAGGAAAUGCA